rnacentral:rRNA from 1 species
UACGUAGGCAGCAAGCGUUGUUCGGAGUUACUGGGCGUAAAGGGUGCGUAGGCGGUCCUGUAAGUAUGGUGUGAAAUCUCCCGGCUUAACUGGGAGGGUGCGCUAUAGACUGCGGGACUAGAGGGUGGGAGAGGAAAGUGGAAUUCCUGGUGUAGCGGUGAAAUGCGUAGAUAUCAGGAGGAACACCGGUGGUGUAAACGGCUUUCUGGACCAAUUCUGACGCUGAGGCACGAAAGCGUGGGUAGCAAACAGG